rnacentral:rRNA from 1 species
UCCGGUGGCCAUAGCGGAGGGGUCACACCCGAUCUCAUCCCGAACUCGGAAGUUAAGCCCUCUCGCGCCGAUGGUACUGCGUUCACUCGUGGGAGAGUAGGUCGUCGCCGGAU